UGAGCUUCGCGAGCAGAGAGGAGUAUGUCCUAUUAGGUUGUUGGUGGGGUAAAAGCCUACCAAGCCGAUGAUGGGUAGCUGGACUGAGAGGUCGACCAGCCGCAAUGGGAUUGAAAUACGGCCCAUAUUCCUACGGGAAGCAGCAGUGAGGAAUUUUUCACAAUGGACGAAAGUCUGAUGGAGCAAUACCAUGUGAACGAUGAAGGUCUUCUGAUUGUAAAGUUCUUUUAUUUAGGAAAAAAAGCUUGAGAGGAAAUGAUUAAGCCUUGAUUGUACUAAAUGAAUAAGUGACAGCUAACUAUGUGCCAGCAGCUGCGGUAAAACAUAGGUCACGAGCAUUAUCCGGAUUUAUUGGGCGUAAAGGAAGCGUAGGCGGACAAAUUGAUCUAUUGUUAAAGGCACUUGCUCAACGAGUUGUUUGUGAUAGAUAUCGUUUGUCUAGAAUUAGUUAGGAGAUACUGGAAUUCAAUGUGUAGCGGUGGAAUGCGUAGAUAA
rnacentral:rRNA from 1 species